AGCAAGCUUCAAGGGGAGACAGACGAGAAGAGACAAUAUGCUUAUGCACAGAGCAUCAACAUGGCCACAUCAUUAGCAAGCCGAGUGAGCAAAGGAUUUUCUAGUCAACAAACCAUGCAGGCCUGUGGCUGUGUGGAGACCUUCACCGACCUGCUGAAGAUCUUCCUGCAGGCCGUAAAUGUCCCCACCCACAGGCAGCUGAUACAGACGGGGGUCAGGCAGUACCUCCACAGGAUGGUGGUCUGUCUGGAGAAGGAGAUCCUGCCCUUUGUGCCGGUCGUUCUUGAGAACCUGCUUAAGCAGCCCGAGGCCAAAGAGCUGCAUGACUUCCUACCACUGAUGAACCAACUCAUUAUGAAAUUUAAAGCUGCCAUUGUCCCCUUCCUACAACAAGUGUUCAUGCCUCUGGUCAGUACCAUAUUCCAGGUCCUGUCCACGCCCUCAGACGACCUUGACCAGGUCACGGCCGUGGAGAAGAAAAUGCUGCAGAGGAGUUACUAUUUAUUUCUGUCUACAAUAAUUUCCAAUGACUGUUUGGAUGUCAUCAAAAACCAAGAGAUGAAUAAUCUUCACAGCCUACUUUUAACGGUUGUCCAGGGAGCGGCAGACAUUCCAGAUCCACAGAGUCAGAAAAUGUGUUACAACAUAAUGAAGAAGCUGGUUGAGACUUGGGGUGGGCCCAAUGGUUUAGCCGGCUUUGUGGAUUUCAUGUACAAGAGUUUUCUGCCAGCAUGCUUUCUUGGUCCAAUGAAACCCACCUUUGACCUAAACGAUGGACAAACUUCACUGGCUCUGGGAGAGUGUGCUCAGUGUUUGAGGUGUAUGCUGGAUAAAAGGGUCAGAGUUUUUAACUUACCUGUCCACCGAUUACCUGCCCAAACUGAAUGUACCUGCUGAAAAUAUUCAGGAGUUGUGUGAAGCUUUAAAGACAGACAACAAAACAUUUAGAACUUAUUUAAAGAAUUUUUUCCUGAAAGCAAAGUCAUGACAAAGGGUUUGUCUCAGAAGGGGAGACAACUAGCUUCAUCAUCCUCAUCAUCAUCAUAAUCAUCAUAAUCAUCAUCAUCAUAAUCAUCAUCACCCAGGAAAUGCAGUGUAAGAAUCCAAUGAAGAACUUUGUGUUUGUGCAAGAACUCACUGAAGAAGGAAGUUUGUAUCCGAGACCGGUAAACCAAUGACAUUACCAGAGAGAGUCAGUCUUGUCCCCAUGUAGUGAUUGCUUUUAGCUAUUGGAUGUGCUUUGUGCUGUUUUGCUAUGGCAGUUUUGUAAUACAUGUUGGAGAGUUUUGAGGAAAAAAAACUGAACACGAGUAGAGUGCCAUGAAGGUCAGCAUUUCAAUGCAGUGUAUUGAUGCCAAAAAAGUAUUUUGUAUUUGUUUUAACCUUAUGUAAAGAAUAUUGACUGCACUAGAAUAAGAACACUAAACAUCUCUAUUUUCUCACAGUUAUUUUAAAGAAAGUGGCAUUAUUUUAUUUUAUUUUCUUUGAAUUUUGUGCAAGUUGAAGAAAUUUCAAUUAGAAUAUAUCUGAAGAUUUUGGUGCACAUUGAGUGAUUGCAUGUCACCAUACGGAAUGCAUUGGACAGUUUGAUGCAAAAAUGUGUGUUGUGUCUCUGAGAGAGAGAGAGAGAGAAAGAGAGAGAGAGAGAGAGAGAGAGAGAGAGAGAGUUGAGUCUUUUCAUUAAAGCAAUUAAUUUGUUUUAUUCAGAGUAAAUUGCAUUUCUGUCUAAUUUUCAUCUGCAAUCUUUAAUAGUAAUUAAUAUUAACAUAAAUAUGUACAUAUAUAUUGUGAUAAAAUGAAUUAAUGUUAUUUUUUAUACAUCCAAAACUUUUCAUGAAAGAAAUCACUUGUACAUGAAUUUUACUCAAAUAUGAAUUCGAUAAUAUGUGACAAAUUAUGUUAAAAAUGUCGGAAGAUAUUAAUAUUCAAGGUUGAGUCAUGAAAUGAGCUUUUUACACAGCAAUAAGAUUUUGUGUUCUCUGUGUAUCAGACCACUUUAUAAUGCAUUGCAUAUAAUGUCUUUUCUGUUAGUUUUUGGGUUGUUACUGCUACAGAUAUUGUUAUUAAAUUAUUUUUUUCUUUUAAAAUUAAAUAAAUCAUUUGUAAACAUU
rnacentral:misc_RNA from 1 species